rnacentral:tRNA from 1 species
UCGGUGGUGGUCCAGUGGUUAAGACUCUGCACUUCCACCGCAGCAGGCAUAGGUUCAAUUCCUGGUCAGAGAA